ACCCCCUAGAUCUAUGGGGCAGGAGGUGACUUAGGGGGCGCCCCAUAGAUCUAUGGGGCAGGACCUGGAACCGCCAUCCCAGGGGCCAGGAGCUGGGCUUGGGGGGUGCCCCCCGAGCUCUAUGGGGCUGGGGUUUGGGGGGGGACGGACUUUACCCCCUUUCCUGCCCCACAUCUCUGGGUCUGCCCCACAUCUCUGGGUCUGCCCCACAUCUCUGGGUCUGCCCCACACCAGGUGCUGCUCUACGGGCAGCUCUACCGCAUCUCGCUGGAGCUGGAGCUCCCGGAGUCACCCCCCAACCGGGCCCUGGGGAUGUUCAUGGUCAACAUCAGCUGCUACGGGCCCCACGGCCGCCCCAUAGCGACCGCCGCCCGCGCCACGAUGCUCCAUUACCGCUCCCCGCUGCUCCGCACCCUCCACACCGUGGCCUUCGCCGGACUCUUCCUCGGGGGCUUCGCGGAGCAGACGCAGACGCUGGAGGUGGAGCUUUGCUCCCGCUACCGGGAGGACCCCUACCUGCCGACGGCGGGGGCGGUGCUGCAGAUCCAGAGCAAACGGGUUCAAUUCUAUGGGGCUCGGCUCCGCGUCCAGGCGCGAUUCAGCGGCAUCAGGUGAGGGGGGCUCUGCCCCACAGCGACCCACGGCUGCCCCACAGCGACCCACGGCUGCCCCAUAGCGACCCAGAGCUGCCCCAUAGCGACCCAGAGUCAACCCCAGGGAUCAGCCCCGAGGAUUAGCUCUGUUACCGGCCCCAUAGAUCAGCCCCAUAGACGGUCUCCUGGCUCUGCCCCAUAGCAGACCCACAGCUGCCCCAUAGUGACCCAGAGCUGCCCCACAGCGACCCACGGCUGCCCCAUAGUGACCCACGGCUGCCCCACAGCGACCCACGGCUGCCCCAUAGUGACCCACGGCUGCCCCAUAGCGACCCACAGCUGCCCCAUAGCGGCCCCAGAGUCAACCCCAGGGAUCAGCCCCGAGGAUUUGCUCCGUUACCAGCCCCAUAGAUCAGCCCCAUAGACGGUCUCCUGGCUCUGCCCCAUAGCAGACCCACAGCUGCCCCAUAGUGACCCAGAGCUGCCCCACAGCGACCCACGGCUGCCCCAUAGUGACCCACGGCUGCCCCACAGCGACCCACGGCUGCCCCAUAGUGACCCACGGCUGCCCCAUAGCGACCCACAGCUGCCCCAUAGCGGCCCCAGAGUCAACCCCAGGGAUCAGCCCCGAGGAUUUGCUCCGUUACCAGCCCCAUAGAUCAGCCCCAUAGACGGUCUCCUGGCUCUGCCCCAUAGCGACCCACAGCUGCCCCAUAGCGACCCAUAGCUGCCCCAUAGCGGACCCAGAGCUGCCCCAUAGCGACCCACAGCUGCCCCAUAGCGACCCACGGCUGCCCCAUAGCAGCCCCAGGGUCAACCCCAGGGAUCAGCCCCGAGGAUUCGCUCCGUUACCAGCCCCAUAGAUCAGCCCCAUAGAUCAGCCCCACAGACAGUCUGCUGGCUCUGCCCCAUAGCGACCCACAGCUGCCCCAUAGUGACCCACGGCUGCCCCAUAGCGACCCACAGCUGCCCCAUAGCGACCCAUGGCUGCCCCAUAGCGACCCACGGCUGCCCCAUAGCAGCCCCAGGGUCAACCCCAGGGAUCAGCCCCGAGGAUUCGCUCCGUUACCAGCCCCAUAGAUCCUCCCCCAGCCCCACUUCCAGCCCCAUAGAUCAAGCAGAACUUGCCCCAAUCCCCCCUCCU
rnacentral:lncRNA from 1 species